rnacentral:rRNA from 1 species
AGUGAACGCUGGCGGUAGGCCUAACACAUGCAAGUCGAACGGCAGCACAGUAAGAGCUUGCUCUUACGGGUGGCGAGUGGCGGACGGGUGAGGAAUACAUCGGAAUCUACUUUUUCGUGGGGGAUAACGUAGGGAAACUUACGCUAAUACCGCAUACGACCUACGGGUGAAAGCAGGGGAUCUUCGGACCUUGCGCGAUUGAAUGAGCCGAUGUCGGAUUAGCUAGUUGGCGGGGUAAAGGCCCACCAAGGCGACGAUCCGUAGCUGGUCUGAGAGGAUGAUCGGCCACACUGGAACUGGGACACGGUCCAGACUCCUACGGGAGGCAGCAGUGGGGAAUAUUGGACAAUGGGCGCAAGCCUGAUCCAGCCAUACCGCGUGGGUGAAGAAGGCGUUCGGGUUGUAAAGCCCUUUUGUUGGGAAAGAAAAGCAGCAGGUUAAUACCCCGCUGUUCUGACGGUACCCAAAGAAUAAGCACCGGCUAACUUCGUG